AUGUUGAGCGGUGCACCUAGCAAGCCACAGAUGCGUAUAGGUGCAAAUCGAGCAACACGGGAAACCAAAGGCGCCCAACCUGAUGAGUUUACUCCGUCGAAUGACGAGGAUGUGACUCGUAAUACUGAAGACGAAGCAACAACAGAGAUUGCCGGUGGUGCAAUGGGAACUGAACCUAAUAAGUCAACUCUGCCGAAAGACCAGGAUUUGUCGGAUAAAAUUGUCAUCGAAAAUCCACCUUUGCCUCUUGAUCAAGUAAUAGUAAGCCAUUCCACCAAAAAUUAUAUCCAACUGCGCAAAAAAUUCCAUGGCUUAAUACAAAACAUCCUAAAGGGGAUUGAUAUUUUCAUUACCUCCGGUGAUGGUAGAGCUCCAAUGGAAGCAUCUGUCAUGUCGUGCGACGUUAACGUUACCAUUGCGUUUGGGGAUCUUGGCAGGAAAUUCAGGUUUACUUGUGAAGACAAAAACCCUGCGAUCCCUUCUUCAGCGGAACAGGGCAUGAACGACUGUGGCACCCAUAAUUUCCACGUAAAGUGCUUGGGCAACAUCAGCGGAGCAUCAGCUGAUGGUAUGGAGGACGAAAACGAAUCGCUGGACCCAAAGAACUAA
rnacentral:rRNA from 1 species